AUCCAGCUGACGAGUCCUAAAUAGGACGAAACGCCCGUGAAUCUGGAU
rnacentral:hammerhead_ribozyme from 1 species